CACAAAUUCACUCAAGAUCAAGGAGUGCAGCAAGGAAACGGGAGGAGCAAGAAGGCGAGGAGAGGCAGCGGCGAAAUGGGGGAACAGCCGCGAACCGAGAGGAUUCACUGACUGAGGUUGAACGUCAAGAGGAUGGAGUGAUGAUCGGAGUCGAUGUUGUUAAACAGUCAAGUUGAUCUCCCAACGGUUUGUAUCUUUAUACACGAAGUCGUUUAGAAAGGACUUAUUCCGCUGCUCUUUUUGUGAUGUGAAAAUUGUAGAAUCUCACCACCAACUCUGAUAUAUUAGAGGAGAUGUUCAUUCUAUUUUCAAGACCAUGUAAUGAAAUACUUGGCUUCUAUGAUAUCAAUUGACUUGGUCUUUGUGCAAA